CUGAUUGGUGGAAUUCAUGCGGAGGGCAAUGCAAAGAAUUACAGAAAAUUGCUAUUAGAAUUGUUUCACGCUGUUGUUCAUCUAGUGGUUGUGAGCGUAACUAGAGUACGUUUGCUCUAGUCCAUACUAAGUUGAGAAAUCGCUUAGGCUAUGAGAAGCUAGAUAGGUUAGUCUAUGUCCAUUAUAACUUAAAGCUUCUCGUCCAACAAUUUGAACUUGACAAUCCCCAAGGAAAGGAGAUAGAUCCAUAUAGUAUGAUGAUGGAUGUUGUCCUUUUUGAUGAAAAUAAUCCAAUCUUAGACUGGUUCAACAACUCUAGAUCUGAGUCUAGACCAAUCCUUGAUGAAUAUGAUGACGACAACGAUGAUUGGGAUGCGCCUAGCAGUUUUCUCAUUGAAGAACUACAAAUGAGUAAAUCAGAUGUGACUGCAUUCAAAAGGAAUCUUGGUUUUGGUAAAAAUAGCAUAGGGAAGAAACCAAUGAGUCAAUUAGAUGAGGAAGAAGAGUUUGAAGAUGACUAUGAGUUAGAUUCUCCACAUGGUAGUCCAUUGUAUGAUGAGCCAUGUGAUAUUUGUUCUGAUGAUGAAGGAAACAACUCAGGCUAGGAUGCUUGGUUGGAAGAUAAAUCGGGUGGUGAUGUCGACAAGAACAAAUCAGAUUGUAUUGAAGGCGGAUGUAGUGGAAAUAGAGGGGCGCCCUUGGUGCCAGUGCGUCUGCUCCUGCUACGACAGCGUCCAGUCUUCCACAAUCGACCCAUAUUCGUCCAAGAUCAAAUAGAAAAAGGAAGCCAACACACAAGAGUGUUUAUGAUCUAUAAAAGGAUGUGGAAGAGAAAUGGCCACCGGAACAUGGCACACUUUUGGACAGAAUGAUCACUUUUGUUGGGGAUUCUGAUUUUGGAAAGAAUGAAUUGAUUUUCAAGUGCUUUUGUUGAUGACAUGUGCUUGAAAAUGUACUAUUUCGGACUUUUAUUAUUUUGAUAAACUAUGCUAUAUGCACUUAUCAUAUUUGGACACUAUUAGGUGGGUUGUGGUUUGAUGCCAAUGUGCCAUGGAUGUUGUAAGUUGUGAUACUUAGUCACAUUUCUAUUUUAUAUAUGUGCAAUUGUGAUGUCAGAUGUAUUAGACAUAAAUUACAGGGAAAUUCUGUCAAUUUUUUUAAAAUUUUGAAUUCAUUUGAAUUUGGUUUGAAAUUUCCGAAAUUUCCCCAAUUUUGGUGGGUGCCAAAUUUUUUCCUUUCCGAAACUGAGAUGAAUAUUAUAUUAAUCAAUAUUUUUUGGUUGAUCAUGUUUAUUUGUCGGCAUGAGAUAUAUUGUAUUUGUUGAAGUGACUGUGUUCAGUUUAGAUAUGAUUUCAAAUGGCUACGUAAUUUACAUUGGAUCAAAACAUGUAUGUAUACAUUAACUGGUGGUGCAGCUUGUUUUAGAAACAGUGAAAUGAAAUCCUCCAUCGAGAGAGUUUAGUUUCUAAAUUUAAGGGAUAUUUGGUUACUAAAGUUUAGUCUGUGCUACAUUAAAUGUUUGAAUAUUAAUUAAAACAAAUAUCAAUUAAGACUAUUAAGUAUUGGUUUAAUUAAAUUUAAUAAAAUUGACUUGUCUUUUAGUCUCCAUCUAUAACUAGUCUUAUAAUUAGACUAUAUUUAAUAUCCGGAAUUAUUAUUCAAACAUUUGACGAGACAAGUAUAAAACUUUACUUGGGCUGUAUCUAGACCUGUUCAAACCUCUGCUCGGAUCGGGUUUGGGCCGGGUCAUGAUCGGUCGGGUCGUUUGACACAGCUCGUGCCUGACCUGUGCAUAGUUGUCGAACCAUGUUCGAGGAGAAAAAAUGGUUGGCUCGUGGAUCGUUUGACACAACCCACACCUGACCCGUGCAUAGCCGCCGGGUUGGCACGUGCCCCCCUGUGGGACAUGUCGAGACGAGUUUUCAAGCUAUGGGUCGAAGGUUUUCGAGUUGGAUCAGGUUUUGGGUCAAAAAUCAUGGUCUGUACCCAACUAUGAAUUGUUGCGGGUCAAAAAUUAUGGCUCGAGCUCGCCCGUUAUAUUGGUCGAGUUGUGUUAGUUGUACCCAACACUCCAUCUCUAAUUCUAGAGAGAUCAAAUGUAUGCUUUGAAAAGGGAUAGUAAUAGAUCACGAUUUAAAUGCUUCUUCACUCACUCUCUAAUCUGAUUCUA